UCGGGAAUUUUGGGCAAUGGGCGCAAGCCUGAUCCAGCAAUACCGCGUGUGUGAUGAAGGCCUUAGGGUUGUAAAGCUCUUUUACCAGGGAUGAUAAUGACAGUACCUGGAGAAUAAGCUCCGGCUAACUCCGUGCCAGCAGCCGCGGUAAUACGGAGGGAGCUAGCGUUGUUCGGAAUUACUGGGCGUAAAGCGUACGUAGGCGGUGACUCAAGUCAGAGGUGAAAGCCUGGAGCUCAACUCCAGAACUGCCUUUGAAACUAGGUCGCUAGAAUCACGGAGAGGUGAGUGGAAUUCCGAGUGUAGAGGUGAAAUUCGUAGAUAUUCGGAAGAACACCAGUGGCGAAGGCGGCUCACUGGACGUGUAUUGACGCUGAGGUACGAAAGCGUGGGGAGCAAACAGGAUUAGAUACCCGUGUAGUCCCUGAGCGGGCUGGCAAGGCGCAU
rnacentral:rRNA from 1 species